GAUGAACGCUAGCGGCAGGCCUAACACAUGCAAGUCGAGGGGGAAGUUACUUUCGGGUGACUGAGACCGGCGUACGGGUGCGUAACGCGUAUACAAUCUGCCUUUCACUGGGGGAUAGCCCGAAGAAAUUUGGAUUAAUACCCCAUAGUAUAUAGGGACGGCAUCGUUUUUAUAUUAAAGCUUAGGUGGUGAAAGAUGAGUAUGCGUUCUAUUAGCUAGUUGGAGAGGUAACGGCUCCCCAAGGCGAUGAUAGAUAGGGGUUCUGAGAGGGAUGUCCCCCACACUGGUACGGAGAUACGGACCAGACUCCUACGGGAGGCAGCAGUGAGGAAUAUUGGACAAUGGUCGGAAGACUGAUCCAGCCAUGCCGCGUGCAGGAUGAAGGUCUUAUGGAUUGUAAACUGCUUUUGUAAGGGAAGAAUAAGGGCUACGCGUAGUUUGAUGACGGUACCUUACGAAUAAGCAUCGGCUAACUCCGUG
rnacentral:rRNA from 1 species